rnacentral:rRNA from 1 species
UACGGAGGGGGGCUAGCGUUGUUCGGAAUUACUGGGCGUAAAGCGCACGUAGGCGGCUUUGUAAGUUAGAGGUGAAAGCCCAGGGCUUAACCCUGGAAUUGCCUUUAAGACUGCAUCGCUAGAAUCGUGGAGAGGUGAGUGGAAUUCCGAGUGUAGAGGUGAAAUUCGUAGAUAUUCGGAAGAACACCAGUGGACGAAGGCGACUCACUGGACACGUAUUGACGCUGAGGUGCGAAAGCGUGGGGAGCGAACAGG